UUGAACGCUGGCGGCAGGCCUAACACAUGCCAGUCGAGCGGAUGAAGGGAGCUUGCUCCUGGAUUCAGCGGCGGACGGGUGAGUAAUGCCUAGGAAUCUGCCUGGUAGUGGGGGAUAACGUCCGGAAACGGGCGCUAAUACCGCAUACGUCCUGAGGGAGAAAGUGGGGGAUCUUCGGACCUCACGCUAUCAGAUGAGCCUAGGUCGGAUUAGCUAGUUGGUGGGGUAAAGGCCUACCAAGGCGACGAUCCGUAACUGGUCUGAGAGGAUGAUCAGUCACACUGGAACUGAGACACGGUCCAGACUCCUACGGGAGGCAGCAGUGGGGAAUAUUGGACAAUGGGCGAAAGCCUGAUCCAGCCAUGCCGCGUGUGUGAAGAAGGUCUUCGGAUUGUAAAGCACUUUAAGUUGGGAGGAAGGGCAGUAAGUUAAGACCUUGCUGUUUGGACGUUACCAACAGAAUAAGCACCGGCGAACUUCGU
rnacentral:rRNA from 1 species